rnacentral:tRNA from 1 species
CAAAAUGUAGCUUAAACAAAGCGUUUCGCUUACACCGAAAAAAUGUCUGUUUAACCCAGACCAUUUUGAG